rnacentral:rRNA from 1 species
UACGUAGGGUGCGAGCGUUGUCCGGAAUUAUUGGGCGUAAAGAGCUUGUAGGCGGUUUGUCGCGUCUGCUGUGAAAAUCCGGGGCUCAACCCCGGACUUGCAGUGGGUACGGGCAGGCUAGAGUGUGGUAGGGGAGACUGGAAUUCCUGGUGUAGCGGUGGAAUGCGCAGAUAUCAGGAGGAACACCGAUGGCGAAGGCAGGUCUCUGGGCCACUACUGACGCUGAGAAGCGAAAGCAUGGGGAGCAAACAGG